ensembl:snoRNA
UGUCCUGACCUGGGAAGAGUACCUUUUAGUUGGUGGUGCCCAUCUCACAUCAGCCAGAGGCAAAGCCACCCCUUGUUUAUGCCUGCUUGGCUGCUGGCCUGUGCCCAUGCCUGGUUCAUGCCUUGGACACAUGA